CUACACCAACGUUUCUCUUCCACUUCUCUUCCACACCCAAUUAAAUCAGACUAAAUUUCAGACCUAACCUCACAACAUAGCCAUUUGAUUUUUAUGAAAAUCAAAGAAUUUUAAUCUAGAACAUUGAUUAAAUACCGGGCUUCAUUUGCUGCCAGAACAUUUUGCUCAUCUUGUUAAGUAUUGUCUUCAAAGGUCUAAAGCUACAAGUGGAGCCAAGAACCGAGCACAAGCAGUAGCAACUUCAACCAAUGUAUCACCGGAUAUUCAAGUACCUGCUACUCCUUAAAGAGAAAAUACUCAGCACCACCAACAUCAACUACUGACACAUCUAGGAGGAAAAACCCAACAAAUCCUCCAAGGCCUAAACCCACUAAAUAGUUUAAUGCUUCCCAAUCAUCAACUGCAAGCACAAUAAAGAGUGAUAUUGGACAAGGUGUAUUUGUAUUUGAGUCUGAUUACAGUUGUGUUAAUGUAUGUCUAACAGCAGAGUAGUCUCCACAUCUAAGACGUUGAAUUCUGCCUCUGACACAGGUGGUAUUUGAUACAAACCAAAUAAGGGCUUGAAGUGAAAAGGAAAGAAGACAGUUAUCCAACAAGAACUCCCAAUACAAAGUGCAAUGCAUAGAGUCCAAACAAGAACUCCAAAUGAUUAAGUUAGUUGUUUUUGCUGAAAUUUGGACAUGUAAAGAACAAGAAUAUUGUUUUGUAGUUUGUGUUGACAAACAGUGUAGCUUAAUCUCCAAUUAAUUUGCUAGGAAAUUUUUGUUUUGCCUACGAUAAUUUUCAGAUUUUGUUAAACUAUC